CGGUGCCAGAUCACGAUAACGAUACUGCAAUCGAUAACCUCCCAACAGUCCCUUAAUCCUCCGCCCAGUGCUUAUUGUUUACGUUAUUUUUCUUUUUUUCCCCCUCCUCCUCCUCUCUUGAACAUCAAUCCGUCCCCGGGCCUGCGAUUCAACACUAGAUCCAAAUAAUUCCGCAAUACACGUGCAGAUACGAUCAUAUAUCACAUACUUGUGUGCAUAUGUAGAGAGAGAGAGAGAGAGUUGAGCUGGGUUUACCUCUUCAUCUGGAUGAAUGUGUUGGAUCCAAAUUCAGUGAGACAAGAGUGAUGAAUAGCUGAUUGAUUACUUGAUUUGAAGGGUUAGCGGGGCUCUGCGAGAGGGCCGGCCCGGAGCCCAGAGUACUCUGUUUCAUCUCUACGGGCAGUUUGGAUUGGCAAAGGAGAAAAGACAAGAGAUGAUUGUACUUUAAUACGCAUGUGAGAGAAGAAAAAAAAAAUUGAUUUUUUAUCAUUAUAUUUGGAUUUAUAAAAAAUAAAUCAUGUAAUAUAUGGAUAUGAGAGAAUAUUUAUAUAUAUAUAUUUUUUUUAUUUUGAUGAGUAAAUUUAAAUUACACAAACCUAUCCUAAGUUACUGACAAUAACAGAAAACUCUCUGUGGUUACUGAAUUGACACUGACUUCCCUUCUGCAGCUCUGUUUUAAUUGUCGGUUUCAGUUUCUCCCCUCCGUUAGUGGUCCCUUAGUGAGGCUCCUGAGAAGGAUGGAAGUUGCUGAAGUCAGCUGAACAUUUCUAUGUGUUUUCCCUUUUUAUUCCUUGUGGGCAAACAUUAGUACCCUUUAUAUCCAUCAUUUAGACUAAACUCCCCUAAAUGUUAUCAUGCUAUAAAUACAAAAACUCCCCUUAUACAUACUUCCAAGUUCCCAUGGAUCUAGUCUUUCUUCUCCAUCUCCUGUGAAACCCACAGAAAAAUAGUAACUUCUAUCUCCAAAAUUUGUACUGAGAAAAAACCACCCACUGUUUUAAUGGUCCCAAAAAAUAAGCAACUAUAUUUUCUUGAUUUGAGCGCAAUUAUUUCUUAGUUUCUAUUCACAAUUUCCACAAUUUUAAGGCACCUACUGGGCGAGCUAGUUUAGCUAUGUUACAUAUAAAUUUUAUCUUUACUAUGUUUUGCCGCUUAUCAUACUUGUAUACUCUUUGUUUGGGUUUUUUUUUUGACUAGAGAAAUAUGAAAAUUGAAAACUUUUGAUGAAAUUGGAAAAAAAAACACUAAGUUAGUUGUAAAUGGUAAGCUUGUAAACACUUAAUGGCAAUCUCUUCUCUAAUAAAAAACACUAAAUAUUAACAAAGACAGUUCAAGUUACUGCCCCAACCAUGCCACAUACCUCCAUGGCAAUCUCUUCUCACGCUCUCUCCAAAUAUGUGCAUUAAGUGACCAUUCUCACAAGAAAUUCAAAUUGAAUGACCUAAUUGCCAAACCAAACUAUCUCACACCUCCAACACCUAAUUUUAACUCCAUUUGAUUUGAGCACCCCAAUGGAACAAUGCUUGGUUUAAACAAGCAAUUGAAAUCCCUGUGAUUUUAACCACCUAAUAGGACCCCAAUCGAAGCAAAUAUAGGCUUAGUGGGCCAAAUGCCUUGCAUUGGUGAAAUGCACAUAGCAAUCAGUGAGUGGUGGCAACUUUGCUUUGUCAAGAGAGGGAAGCGAUGGUGUGGCGGGUUCAACGAUUGAGAGGGGGAGAGAGUAGGUGUUGUAGUUGGGUUUUGGCGAGGCAAUGGUGAUUGUCGGUGGAGAAAGAUGAGAUUAGGAGGCGAUGGUGGUGGGUUAUUCGAGAUGGGUUUGUGAAAGGGAAAUGAUAGUGUAGGUAAUUUUGUGUUCAUGAGCAAGGCCGCUUAGAGCGACUCCAACAAACUACUCAUCUCUAUAUUUCAGACAUUUUAGGGGGUUAAAUCUUCAAAAUUGGCUCCAACAGCCAUUCCAAAAAGACUCCCUAUUUUGAAGGGUUGAAUAGGAACUCGUCCACAGCGCGAGAACUGUAUAACCCCUAAAAAAUUAAAAAAUCAUAUAUUAUCUUCCAAAGAGGACAAACCAUAAGAGAGCUGCCGUGCGACGAUCUUGCUGAGGAAGAGGAAGAAGAUUGUGAAGGAGUCUUGAUCUAAAAUUCGGCAGCAACGCAGUCCAUGGUCGACUUUGUGGCGGUGAAAAUGGUUUGUGUGAUGGCAGAGGGAGGUGAGAUUGGAGAGUAGAGAGAGAGGAUAGAACAAGACCACCUCCAAUUCAUAGAAAGGCAAGAAACAAAUGUUGGUCUUGUUGGAGUUGGUGGUGGAAAAGGAUGGGCUAAUUUCCCUAACCCAGAGCCAUUUUUUACACUUUAUUUCCAAAAUGGGGUUGAUUUUAACUUAUUUCGGACCCAGGUAAAACGCUUUUUCAAAAAUUUAUAGUUAAAAAAUUAUUAAAUAAAUUAUAAAAAUAUUAGUAAAAAUUAAAAUUAGAGGUAUUAACACUUAGAAAUAAUAAAAAUAU
rnacentral:lncRNA from 1 species